CUCCCCCAGGUGUGGAUGUGCAGGCAGCCAAGCGGGCGGAGGAGGAGCUGCUGCUUCAUGACACGCGGUGCUGGCUGAAUGGGGGCGCCAUGCCCGAGGCCCGCACCCACGCACGGGGGGCCUCUGCCCUGCACGUGGCCGCCGCCAAGGGCUACAUCGAGGUGAUGAGUUGGAUCAGACAACAGGGCCCGCAUGGUUUGCUCUUGCUCAGUCUGCCCACGAGCACCUGUGCUGGGAAGGGCCGUGUCGGGCAGUGUCCUCCCCGCCGUCCAGACCUUCCGGAUCCUGGCAGCACCUGCCUGGCUGCUCCUGUUCGCUUCUCACUGUGGUGGUAGACUCGGCCUAUUUCACCUGCUGGUUUUUUACACAUUUGAAGUCUGGGCUGUCUGGGACAUAUGUACUUUAAAUACCACAGUGCGCCGUGUUCCUCUUCUGUCAUCCUCCCACCAUCUGGGGUCUUCCUUUGUCCCUCAUCAGCUGUUCUCCCCUUUCCAGUGGUGUCAGGCGCCUCCACCUGUACUCCUGCCCGUGUGCACGUCUGAUCCCGCCAGCAGGAAGUGGGGAGGAGAAGGGGCAAAUGUCUGUCCUUUUUUUCUUUGCAGUGCUAGAAGUUGAACCUAGGGCCUCGUGCCUGCUAAGCCAGCGCUCUCUUGCUGAACUGCACCCCAGCCCUUUUAACAUUCUGCUUUGACACGGGUCUCACUAAGGUGCCCAGGCUGGCUUAGGACUUUUCAUCCUCUUGCCUCAGCCUCCCAGGUAGCUGGGGUUACAGGAAUACACCCCCACGCCCAGCUUGUCUGACCCUAAGAAGACAGCAGUGCCAAGGGGCGUGUCCCACUUCAUUCAGGUGUCCCAUUUACCAGGCCCUCAUCACCUAUGAGGGAUGCUGGAGAUUCCUCAUUGGCUGAGUGACCAUGACCAUGUGUCCACCUAAAAAUUACGUGUGGUUAAUAGAGAGUUGACGUGUGUGUGUGGUGCUGAGGAUUGAACUCAGGGCUUCAUGCCUGCAGGCGAGCAGUCUACCCCUGAGCUGUGCCCUCAGCCUGAGAGAGUUGAUGUUUGCGAGCAGCCUCGAUCUGUCACAGAACUGAAGCUUUGAGUGUAGAAUGGCCAGGAGGCUCAGGCUUAGUGGGUAGCACACGCACCCGGCAUGUGUGAGGCUCUGGGUGUGAUCUCAGCACGGGAAAAGUGAAUCCCCGCCUCUGUGGUUUUGUCACUGCUUAUGGAGCUGAGCAGGGUCAUGGAGAAGGUGAGAGGUGGGGAGGGACUGCGGGUGGUGACUGAGGGGUUGCAUCGGGAAGCUCAGAAUCCCCACAUGGCUGGAGCGAGCGGCUGAGGUCCCCAUGUGACAGCUGUCACUCUGUACGCACCCUGCUCCCCAAGAACAGCCGCAUCUUCCCAUGGUGGGUUUGGGGUUUUUUUGUUGUUUGUUCGUUUGUUUGUUUUUGGAACCAGGGAUCGAACUCAGGACCUUCCACUUUCAAGGCAGGCGUCAGAACCAGUGAGCUAAAUCCCCGGCCAGCCUGCUGGGUUUGGGAAAGUUCCCUGGACUUCUUUUUUCUGUUUGAGAUAGGGUCUCAUUUGCUAAGUUGCCAAGGCUGGGCUCAAACUGCGACCCUUCUGCCUCAGCCUCUGGGAGUGUUGGGAUCGAAGGUCUGUGCCACCAGGGCUGUCAGUUCAGUGGACCUGUAAGCCUGCCUCUGCCCAGGCUGAGUGCCGACUACUGUUUCCUGGGAGCACUGGCUGGGCCAGGGCUUCUCAGCCUGAGCAUUGUGG
rnacentral:lncRNA from 1 species